rnacentral:rRNA from 1 species
AUUGAACGCUGGCGGCAUGCCUUACACAUGCAAGUCGAACGGCAGCACGGGUGCUUGCACCUGGUGGCGAGUGGCGAACGGGUGAGUAAUACAUCGGAACAUGUCCUGUAGUGGGGGAUAGCCCGGCGAAAGCCGGAUUAAUACCGCAUACGAUCUACGGAUGAAAGCGGGGGACCUUCGGGCCUCGCGCUAUAGGGUUGGCCGAUGGCUGAUUAGCUAGUUGGUGGGGUAAAGGCCUACCAAGGCGACGAUCAGUAGCUGGUCUGAGAGGACGACCAGCCACACCGGGACUGAGACCCGGCCCAGACUCCUACGGGAGGCCGCAGUGGGGAAUUUUGGACAAUGGGCGAAAGCCUGAUCCAGCAAUGCCGCGUGUGUGAAGAAGGCCUUCGGGUUGUAAAGCACUUUUGUCCGGAAAGAAAUCCUUGGCCCUAAUACGGUCGGGGGAUGACGGUACCGGAAGAAUAAGCACCGGCUAACUACGUG